UACGGGGGGAGCAAGCGUUGUUCGGAUUUACUGGGCGUAAAGGGCGCGUAGGCGGCGCAACAAGUCACUUGUGAAAUCUCCGGGCUUAACCCGGAGCGGUCAAGUGAUACUGUCGUGCUAGAGUGCGGAAGGGGCUACUGGAAUCUCGGUGUAGCGGUGAAAUGCGUAGAUAUCGAGAGGGAACACCUGGCGGCGAAGGCGGGUAGCUGGGCCGACACUGACGGUGAU
rnacentral:rRNA from 1 species